AGAUCCUGGAUGAUACAGGUCUGAUGCUGAUUUUGUCCUGAAAGCCUGGCAGCCUGCAGAGCAUCCGGGACCACAGCUGAAGAUGAGGUCCCUCGUCUCCCGCAGGAGGCCACUGCUCCUUUUGCUUGAGCUGGAGAAGACUGGGGCUUCAGCAGGUGACAUUUGAGGACACAGGCCAGCCCAUCACCCCUGUGCCGGCAGCAGAGGACAGACACACAGCCUCAGCAGUCCUGGAGCCAGAGGGGAGAGCGUGAUGACAGGGAGUGGGAUGGAGUUUGCAGAGCCUGUGACUGCGGCUUCUCAAGACUGAACACAGAGGCUGGACGGCGGCAGGAGUGCAGUGGGGCCCAGGGGCCUAUCUGGGCCAUGCUUGCUUCGGGGGACAGAGCCCAGUGUGCUCAGCCUGACCGCCAGGGCCUUUCCGGUGGGCUGCUCGGCUGCUGACACACAGCAGGGACCACCUGUGUCUGUUGUCCAAAAGAAGCAAGAACAGAUGGGAUUCUAAUUGGAAAUGGACUCAGCCCAAAACAGACCCCUGGGUGCCUAGCAUCAACAACAGCUCUGCCCACGCCACCCUGCGGCUGAAGCGUCUAGUUUUAAAUCAUCAACUAUUUAU
ensembl:lncRNA